rnacentral:tmRNA from 1 species
GGGGGCGACCUGGUUUCGACGUGGGUUGCGAAACCCAAGGUGCAUGCCGAGGAGCAGGGUACCUCGUAAAUCCAUCUGCAAAACUAUUAGUUGCCAACGACGACAACUACGCACUCGCUGCUUAAACCCCAGUAGGGUGCCCUUCGGACUGGAGCCGUGCCUGUGCGUUCAGGUUUCCGGGGGUCAUUUCUCAUAGGAUCGCGACAAUGCUUGCUUGGGGCAGCGUCGUUAAAACAUACCAAGAUCGCCUUUAGUAGACCCUGCCCGUCGGGUUGCUACUGGUUAAAACAAUAGACAGGAUAAGCAUGUAGAGCCAAAGGCAGAGAGCUUACGGACGCGGGUUCGAUUCCCGCCGCCUCCACCA